GAUGAACGCUGGCGGCGUGCUUAAUACAUGCAAGUCGAACGGAGACAGUAGCAAUAUUGUCUUAGUGGCGAACGGGUGAGUAACGCGUUGGUGACCUGCCCCGAAGAGGGGGAUAACAGUCCGAAAGGAUUGCUAAUACCCCAUGUGGUCAUUCGGAUUAGAUGCCUUAUGACUAAACGGAUUUAUUCGCUUCGGGAGGGGCCUGCGUCCCAUCAGCUAGUUGGUAAGGUAAUGGCUUACCAAGGCGAUGACGGGUAGGGGACCUGAGAGGGUGGCCCCCCACAAUGGAACUGAAACACGGUCCAUACACCUACGGGUGGCAGCAGUAGGGAAUAUUGGUAAUGGGCGAAAGCCCGAACCAGCAACGCCGCGUGCGCGAUGAAGGCCUUCGGGUUGUAAAGCGCUUUUUAAGGGGAUGAGGAAGGACAGUACUCUUAGAAUAAGCCUCGGCUAACUACGUG
rnacentral:rRNA from 1 species